GACGAACGCUGGCGGCGUGCCUAAUACAUGCAAGUUGAGCGAUGAAGAUUGGUGCUUGCACCAAUUUGAAGAGCAGCGAACGGGUGAGUAACGCGUGGGGAAUCUGCCUUUGAGCGGGGGACAACAUUUGGAAACGAAUGCUGAUACCGCAUAACAACUUUAAACAUAAGUUUUAAGUUUGAAAGAUGCAAUUGCAUCACUCAAAGAUGAUCCCGCGUUGUAUUACCUAGUUGGUGAGGUAAAGGCUCACCAAGGCGAUGAUACAUAGCCAACCUGAGAGGGUGAUCGGCCACAUUGGGACUGACACACGGCCCCAACUCCUACGGAAGGCAGCACUAGGGAAUCUUCCGCAAUGGACGAAAGUCUGACCGAGCAACGCCGCGUGAGUGAAGAAGGUUUUCGGAUAGUAAAACUCUGUUGGUAGAGAAGAACGUUGGUGAGAGUGGAAAGCUCAUCAAGUGACGGUAACUACCCAGAAAGGGACGGCUAACUACGUGCCAGCAGCCGCGGUAAUACGUAGGUCCCGAGCGUUGUCCGGAUUUAUUGGGCGUAAAGCGAGCGCAGGUGGUUUAUUAAGUCUGGUGUAAAAGGCAGUGGCUCAACCAUUGUAUGCAUUGGAAACUGGUAGACUUGAGUGCAGGAGAGGAGAGUGGAAUUCCAUGUGUAGCGGUGAAAUGCGUAGAUAUAUGGAGGAACACCGGUGGCGAAAGCGGCUCUCUGGCCUGUAACUGACACUGAGGCUCGAAAGCGUGGGGAGCAAACAGGAUUAGAUACCCUGGUAGUCCACGCCGUAAACGAU
rnacentral:rRNA from 1 species